rnacentral:lncRNA from 1 species
AAUAUGAGCUAGCCUUUAAAUUAGCAGCUGUUUUUUCUUCCUUCAGUACAUAAUUUGCGUUCAAUAUCAAACCUAAAGUUUUUGUAGAUAAUCGUAUAAUAAUCAUCAAUAUGACUCCUGUUUUAAGCCGCAUUGCUCUUUCCAAAGUUUUGGGAUCCCAUCGUAUGGGAGUGAGGAACUUUACUUACAAGGGUGUUGUGACUGGACCUGCACGUGUCAAAGUCUCAAAUACCGAGAAAUGCAUUCACCUUAGCUUGAUCUUUAUUGGAAUCAUUGGAGUCCCAGCCUACAUUUCCUAUAAUAUCCGAAACUACAGAAAAUAAAUUAUCUCCGACCUAUAAGACUCGUAUUUUAGUUGAUAGUGAUGUGUUAUAGUCUAUAUAAAUAUGUGGCAAAGAAUUUUCUAGUUUUCGUCGAAAACUCAAGGAAUAUCUUUAGAAAUAUGGAAAACUAUUGAUAUUUUUUAAGAGCUUUUAUGCUAUAUAAAUAUGGAUUAUGCAUUGUAUAUUCCUAAAUUUUAGAUCAUAAUAAAAUCAAAUGAGUAGAACCAUUCAGUGUUAUUCCUAUACAUAAAUACAUUGCUCUCACGAUCAAUGUCGAUCGUGUCAUUAGAUACAGCUUAUCACUUUAUCCAUAGUUCAAAUGACAUGAGGAAUAAAUGAAAGAGCAAGGAUAACGUAAAAAAUUACAUUAACUUAUGAUUAUCCCUCUCCGAAAAACCUGUCUAAACACUAUAUACAUACCAAA